rnacentral:rRNA from 1 species
GACGAACGCUGGCGGCGUGCUUAACACAUGCAAGUCGAACGGUGAAGCUCAAACUUGCUUGGGUGGAUCAGUGGCGAACGGGUGAGUAACACGUGAGCAACCUGCCCCGGACUCUGGAAUAAGCGCUGGAAACGGCGUCUAAUACUGGAUAUGACACCAAUCCGCAUGGGUAUGGUGUGGAAAGUUUUUCGGUCUGGGAUGGGCUCGCGGCCUAUCAGCUUGUUGGUGAGGUAAUGGCUCACCAAGGCGACGACGGGUAGCCGGCCUGAGAGGGCGACCGGCCACGCUGGGACUGAGACACGGCCCAGACUCCUACGGGAGGCAGCAGUGGGGAAUAUUGCACAAUGGGCGAAAGCCUGAUGCAGCGACGCCGCGUGAGGGAUGACGGCCUUCGGGUUGUAAACCGCGAAAGUAGGGAGGAAGGCCCCGUGAAGAACGGGAUUUGACCGAUCUACAGUAAGGACGGGCUAAGUACGUGCCAGCAGCCGCAGUAAUAC